rnacentral:ribozyme from 1 species
UGCUGUAGUGAACCUGCACUGGUAUGGGAAUCUCUCUCUAAGGAAAACGUAGGCUCUCUACAUUCUACUUCUGCUCAAUAAUUCCACAGCAUACUGUACGGUUACAGAUCUCUCCGGAUAUCUGAGCUUGGGAAUACAGGGAAAUCCUAACCCUCUGGAGGAUAAGUAAUAUGGUUAAAUUGUGAGGA